GAAUCUGCCUAGAGGUUGGGGACAACCACUGGAAACGGUGGCUAAUACCCAAUGUGCCUAUUCGUGAAAGAUUUAUCGCCUCUAGAUGAGCUCGCGUCUGAUUAGCUAGUUGGUAGGGUAAAAGCCUACCAAGGCAUCGAUCAGUAGCUGGUCUGAGAGGAUGACCAGCCACACUGGGACUGAGACACGGCCCAGACUCCUACGGGAGGCAGCAGUGGGGAAUUUUCCGCAAUGGGCGAAAGCCUGACGGAGCAAGACCGCGUGAGGGAGGAAGGCUCUUGGGUCGUAAACCUCUUUUGUCAGGGAAGAACACAAUGACGGUACCUGGCGAAUCAGCCUCGGCUAACUCCGUGCCAGCAGCCGCGGUAAUACGGAGGAGGCAAGCGUUAUCCGGAAUUAUUGGGCGUAAAGCGUCCGUAGAUGGUCGCUUCAAGUCUGCUGUCAAAGACCGGGGCUUAACCCCAGAAAGGCAGUGGAAACUGAACAGCUAGAGAGAGGUAGGGGUAGAGGGAAUUCCCAGUGUAGCGGUGAAAUGCGUAGAUAUUGGGAAGAACAUCAGUGGCGAAAGCGCUCUACUGGACCUUAUCUGACAUUGAGGGACGAAAGCUAGGGGAGCG
rnacentral:rRNA from 1 species